rnacentral:rRNA from 1 species
AUACGUAUGGUGCAAACGUUGUUCGGAAUCACUGGGCUUAAAGAGCACGUAGGCGGUUGAGAAAGUCAGAUGUGAAAUCCCUCGGCCCAACCGGGGAACUGCAUCUGAAACUUCUUAGCUAGAGUAUAGGAGGGGAGAGUGGAAUUCCUGGUGGAGCGGUGAAAUGCGUAGAUAUCAGGAGGAACGCCGGUGGCGAAAGCGACUCUCUGGCCUAUUACUGACGCUGAGGUGCGAAAGCUAGGGGAGCGAACGGGAUUAGAAACCCCGGUAGUCC